UACGGAGGGUGCAAGCGUUAUCCGGAUUCACUGGGUUUAAAGGGUGCGUAGGUGGGUUGGUAAGUCAGUGGUGAAAUCUCCAAGCUUAACUUGGAAACUGCCGUCGAUACUAUCAAUCUUGAAUCUCGUGGAGGUAAGCGGAAUAUGUCAUGUAGCGGUGAAAUGCUUAGAUAUGACAUAGAACACCGAUAGCGAAGGCAGCUUGCUACACGAGUAUUGACACUGAGGCACGAAAGCGUGGGGAUCAAACAGG
rnacentral:rRNA from 1 species